GCAGAGCACUCCUAGGAGGCAGCAGUGGGGAAUAUUGCACAAUGGGCGCAAGCCUGAUGCAGCCAUGCCGCGUGUAUGAAGAAGGCCUUCGGGUUGUAAAGUACUUUCAGCAGUGAGGAAGGUGGGUAUGUUAAUAGCAUACUCAUUUGACGUUAGCUGCAGAAGAAGCACCGGCUAACUCCGUGCCAGCAGCCGCGGUAAUACGGAGGGUGCGAGCGUUAAUCGGAAUUACUGGGCGUAAAGCGCAUGCAGGUGGUUUGUUAAGUCAGAUGUGAAAGCCCGGGGCUCAACCUCGGAAUUGCAUUUGAAACUGGCAAACUAGAGUACUGUAGAGGGGGUAGAAUUUCAGGUGUAGCGGUGAAAUGCGUAGAGAUCUGAAGGAAUACCGGUGGCGAAGGCGGCCCCCUGGACAGAUACUGACACUCAGAUGCGAAAGCGUGGGGAGCAAACAGGAUUAGAUACCCUGAUAG
rnacentral:rRNA from 1 species